GAUGAACGCUAGCGGCAGGCUUAACACAUGCAAGUCGCAGGGUAACAUGAGGAGAGCUUGCUUUCCUUGAUGACGACUGGCGCACGGGUGAGUAACGCGUAUCCAACCUUCCCAUAACUACGGGAUAACCCGUUGAAAGACUGCCUAAUACCGUAUGAUAUCGUUUGCUGACUUCAAAUAACGAUUCAAGGUUUAGCGCUCAUGGAUGGGGAUGCGUCUGAUUGGCUCGUUGGCGGGGUAACGGCCCGCCAAGGCGCCGCUCAGUAGGGGUGCUGGGAGGGAGCUCCCCCACAUCGGAACUGCGGCCCAGUCCACACUGCUAGGGGAGGGAGCAGUGAGGAACAUUGGGCGAGGGGGGCGAGCCUGACCCAGCCAAGUGGGGUGUAGGACGACGGCCCUAUGGGUUGUAAACUGCUUUUGAGUGGGGAUAAAGUGCGUGACGAGUCAUGCAUUGCAGGUACCAAAUGAAUAAGGACCGGCUAAUUCCGUG
rnacentral:rRNA from 1 species